UAGUCCACGCUGUAAACGAUGAGUACUAGCUGUUGGUUCUGGUGUAAAAGAAUUAGUGGCGCAGCUAACGCGAUAAGUACUCCGCCUGGGGACUACGGCCGCAAGGUUAAAACUCAAAGGAAUUGACGGGGACCCGCACAAGCGGUGGAGCAUGUGGUUUAAUUCGAUGCAACGCGAAGAACCUUACCUGCCCUUGACAUCCAUAGGAGAUCUGAGAGAUUGGAUUGUGCCUUCGGGAACUAUGAGACAGGUGCUGCAUGGCUGUCGUCAGCUCGUGUUGUGAAAUGUUGGGUUAAGUCCCGCAACGAGCGCAACCCUUAUUUUUAGUUGCCAUCAUUAAGUUGGGCACUCUAGAGAGACUGCCGCUGAUAAGGCGGAGGAAGGUGGGGACGACGUCAAGUCAUCAUGGCCCUUACGGGCAGGGCUACACACGCGCUACAAUGGGCAUUACAGAGGGAAGCGAAGCUGCGAGGUGGAGCGAAACUCAUCAAAGGUGUUCG
rnacentral:rRNA from 1 species